GGCAGGUCAUCGCUUUGCUCCGUCUCCCACAUCACCCCUUUCCUCGCCACACGGAGUCGAAGGGGAAAGAAGAGGUUGAGUCGGGCUUCUCCUUGCGUCGGGUUUUCUCCUCGGUUUCUACUCCGUCCGCCCCGCUUCCUCGCCUCCUCCCCUUCUGCCGGCCCAUUUUCCAAUUUUCGGGGUUCCUCCCUUCCGCUCGACUCGUUGCGUGAAGAGGAGCUUCAGCGACGCGAGGUGUGAUGGGCACCGGGGGCAAGAAAUAUAUGUACAUCAAGGAGCACAGAGCUGCCAUUUGCAUCCAGGUAAUCGAGCAUAUUCUGUUUUCUCCCAAGAAGACUUAUUGCACGCACUUCAUGAUGACAACACUUCCUAUCCACGGCUAUACUACACCUGGGAACUUCUGAUAUGAUACUUCUCACCUAUUUUCUACUAUUUGUGGAGACAUCCAAUAUGCAAAGUCAUACAUGACCAGAUUAGAUGAUAGAAUAAUUUCAAAGCUUUUUGAAAAUAGGUUUGGAUUCUUGUUUCCACUUGCUUACAUGUAGAUGAUUGGCGAAUGUUCUUCUGUUUUUCUUGAAAUUUGAUAAGUCUUGCAGUGGAUAGAUGCAUGAAGCUAUUUUCAUGUUGCGUUGGUAGUUUUAAACUCUGUAAUGGCUAUCCUGAUCACUAAUGCUCUUUUGUAAUUUGGGAGCUUGCUUUUUUUGGAAGUUAAGAUUUCUAUACAUGUUGCAUAUAAACAAUUUGCUUGAUAUAUGUGAUAUUGUAAUUUUUUUGUAUCUACACUAGAUUUUAGCACUUAUCUGAUAAGGAAUUUUAACGUGUUUAUGGGGACAGGCCCAACAAGUCAUUGAUAAGACUUGAGGUUUUGCUUGUGGAACAUUUUCAAAGUUUUUUUAACAUUAUUUGUUAUGUUUUAUGAAAAGGGUUGUUCAUGUUUAUUUUUUAUUUUUUAUAUUUUGUGGAAACUAGUUAGGGGAAUGAUUCAGUGGUUUAAUUUUUCUAGGGUCUCAAAAUUCUUGUAACAGCCUUUUGUAUUUUUUGAUGAUUUUAUUCUCUCUAAUCUCUUUACUUAGUAGUGGCUUUUGAUUUGUGCUGUAAUUGCUAGUUUGUCUAAUUUAUCAACCCAGUUGGAAUGUUCGGAAGGUUGCUUAUGCAAAAUUGGCUCUUCUUUGGAAAUUUUGUUGGUAAAUCUUCUUCUUGAAAAUAUAGGUGUUGGUUGUCUUUAGUUAUUGAGAAAAUUUCACAAUUGAAGUUUAUGUAAAUGUUUGUGUUCCUUACUAAAUCUAUGUGCUCUUUGUAACUUAUGGUCAAUUGUGAUCUACUAGGUUGUUGCCUUAGUUCCUCCAAAACUUAAAUGACUUACUUUGUAUGGUUGGGGCAUAUGGACACCUAGAUCUGCUUAACCCCAAGUCGCCACUUUAUAUUGUGAUGCAUUUAAUACUUAUAUUCAUGCUAUUUGAUGCUUAUACUCUAGUCGGAGUCAUACAAGGUUUAGGCUUCUUUGAUUGAGACUUUGCUCUUUGUGUUUCUCUUCUAGGCAUAUGGACACCUUUUGGUUUGUUUUCAUUGCCUAAGUUUCUAGUGUUUGUUUUUUCACUUUUGGUGCUAUAUCAAGUUUAUUCCAAACUUCUUAUGCCAAUUAACUUCCUAAGAUGAUGCAUGCGUGGUCAAUGACACACAGAGUUGGUAUGAGGUACAAAUCUACUAUCUGUUUAACUGUUAGUGAGAUGUUUUCUUCUUAUUGCAACUGCAGCUAUUUCCUCUUUCGAUGGUUCAUAUUUCCAGCUGAUAAUUUGCUCACAUCACCCUUGCAUUGCCAACAAUGGUAUAAGUAACCAUGUAUGGAAAGGUAGGUCCCGCCUGUGAUUUACCUCCUUCGUGUUAGCCCUGGGAUGGGUUAGCGAGGGCGCUGGGGGCGAGCGUAUUCGCCUUUUGCCAUCAUGUAUGGAAGGUAGGUCAAAUUCCCAAAGGCCCUUCGUAGGGGUAUUUUUGAACAAAUCUAGUGGUCUGUUAGUGUCAUGUAAAGUUGGACCACCUCUAGCAGAUUGGCUUACCUUUAAAUUUCCGGUUUAUUUCUAUCUAAAUUUAGUUAUCAUCCAACUUUACUUGUUGCUAGCUUAUUCUUUUUAAUUACUUCAUUUAUGCUAGGUAAUCGAGCAGGUUCUGUUUUAUUCCCAGAAGAUUGCAUGCACAAUGACUGCACUUUCUACUUCUGAGCCUCCACGACUACUACACCUAGGAACUUUUGAUAUGAUACUUUUGACCUAUUUUCUAGUAUUAGUUCGUUGUUACCAUAUUUUCUCCCAACAGAUUUUUCUUUACAACUUGUUCACCCGUUUUCAUUUUCUUUAUUGCUAGAUUGUAAAUUUAGUUUAUGUUAGUUUUGCUCAUGAGCAGUUGCUAAAUGAGUGUCAAUUUUUUGGAUUCAUAUGUAUCUCUGUUGUACUCUUAAAAUGAUAGGUCAUAUCGAAAGAAGGUUCAUUGAGGUGCCUCUUGGAGCUACAUGGGUUCUGACAACAAUCAAUGAGAGCUUCAAGAUUUGAUACAAAAUUCAGGUCAUAUCGAAAGAAGGUUCAUUGAGGUGCCUCUUGGAGCUACAUGGGUUCCGGCAAUAAUCAAUGAGAGCUUCAAGAUUUGAUACAAUUCAGGUCAUAUCGAAAGAAGGUUCAUUGAGGUGCCUCUUGGAGCUACAUGGGUUCCGGCAACAAUCAAUGAGAGCUUCAAGAUUUGAUACAAUUCCGGUGGUUUUGCAAUGGAGUUGAAUGUUGCCCAGUUUUGGUCCAGUGGAAUUGGUAGCCAUGAAGUAACCUCUUGUAGAUUUUGAGGGAGGACCAGAUCAUAUUCCUGGACUUUGCAUUCUCACCCUUUGUUGCCUAUAUUUUUGCAGGGGCUAAUUAAUGGAUUAGUUGAAAUGUGAGAGAACAAGAUGCUUUGGAGUUUGGCGAAUUAAUUGCUCUCACAUAUGAAAAAAAUAUUUCAAAAAAUAGUUCCCAAUUUGUUAAACCGCAACCAGAACAAUCAAAAGAUUACUCUGGUUUCAAGUUGGAAAGGAAGGAAAUGUAUAUUCACAGCUCGUGCAGUCACUUAUCUUAGCUUCUCAAGAUGACUUAAGUGAGGUUGGCCAGAAUUUUUUGCAUGUUCGGGGAUGGCUUCAUGUAUAUUCAUUCAGUUGUUGUCGUACUCCAAUUUAGUAUUCAUGGUUUCCUUGGUCUGCAGAAAUAUAUGUACAUCAAGGAGCACAGAGCUGCCAUUUGCAUCCAGAUGAAAUACAUUGAUACAUUACUGCACUCAUGAACAUUUGAGUUGGGCACACAAGAUAGCUGCUGUGUAUUUCUGCAAAAGACAUACAUGCUGAAGGUCAAGUUUCCAAAGACCCUUCAUUGGGUAUUUUUGAGCAAAUAGUUAAUGGUAUGUAAUCGAGCAUAUUCUGUUUUCUCCCAAGAAGACUUAUUGCACGCACUUCAUGAUGACAACACUUCCUAUCCACGGCUAUACUACACUGGGAACUUCUGAUAUGAUACUUCUCACCUAUUUUCUACUAUUUGUUAGUUGUUACCAUAUUUUCUCCCAAUAGAUUUUUCUUUACAACUUGUUCACUAAUUUUUCAUUUUCAUUAUAAUUAUCAGUUGGAGUUUAUCUUUAAUUUCAUAUUGUUUUCAAUAAUUUUUAUUUUUUAUUAUGCAAUUGAUCAUUUGUUGUAGGUGGAGACAUCCAAUAUGCAAAGACCAGAUUAGAUGAUAGAAUAGUUUCAAAGCUUUUUGAAAAUAGGUAUUUUAUCUGCGGUUAAAUACUUCCAAUUUAGAUUUAUAGAGAAGUGGAAGAUACAAAAUCUCAUGAAAUGGUUUACCAUUCUAGCAUGUAUGUGCGCGGUCCUAUCAUCCAUGUCAUCCCAUUAAAAGCUUAAUAUCCAUGCAUUAAUAAAAGACGUUUUAAUGCAGGAAGAAUAACACAACUUACUGCUAUGAUUUUCCAUUGGUAAGUUUCCCUUCAAAUUCUCAUAAGAAAGAAAGUAGCUUAUGCAGAAUCAUAUGUUAAAUUUACAUCCCUAUUAGAUCUUUGUAAAGAUGUGUUUACCAUUUAUUCAGGCAUUCAAGACAACACUUAGACAGUUGUGGGAAUCAUACACAUCAUGUAACAUUAGGGCGAACAAUAAUAUAAAUCUCAUUAAAGUGACAGAGAGUUGGCAUUUACCAACAAUCAUGGAGAUUGGAAUUCUCCUUUUGUCACUGUGAGCUGGUCCUUUGUUCUCGAUAUGGUAUGAUAACCUGGUUAAUGGAGAUGUCUACACUAGAAUUCCCUAAUGGAAGGAAGAUGCACCUCAUAGUUUGUGGCAAACGACCUCACUUUCAGAGUUGGUUCAUUUGGUCCAAAGGAAGAUGCAUUAUGCAGUGACCAAUUUAGCAUGUGAUAAAAAGCUCCCUCUAAUUUAUUUGGCUGCAAAUUCUGGUGCUAGGAUUGGAGCAGCUGAAGAAAUAAAAUCUUGCUUUAAGGAUGGGUGGUCUGAUGAGGUAAGCCCAGAACGUGGCUUUCAGUACUUUUAUUUGAGUCCAGAAGAUUACAAUCAUAUUGGUUAUUCUUUAAUCACUCAUGAACUCAAACUGGAAAAUGGUGACAAGAUGGAUGAUGGAUUAUUGACACAAUUGUAGGAAAAGUAGAUGACAAGUGGUGCCAUAGCCGGUGUUUAUUCAAAAGCAUUUAAUUAGAUAUUCACUCUCACUUAUGUGAGUGGAAGAACUGUUGGCGAUAUCUCACUCGUCUUGGCUUGAGGUGCAUUCAACGUCUUGAUCAGCUAAACAUUGUUGCAAUAGAGAUUUAUUAGUUUGGCCAUUUUAUUUCUCAUCCUCAAACAAUGUGUUGUUGGUGAAAUACGUUGAUCCAUUAUAGCACUCAAUCGUUGGAGAUAGCCCCAACUCUUUUUUGCUGGGCACACGAGAUAGCUGCCGCUUUGUAUUUAAUUUAUGCAAAAGAUGUACAUGUAGUCUUGGAGCUUACCCCAACUGCUGAAGGUCAAGUUCCCAAAGGCCCUUCAUUGGGUAUUUUUGAGCAAAUAGUUAAUGUUCUGUCAGUGUGAUGUAAAGUUGGACCGCCCGUAGAUACAUUUACCUAUAUAUUUUUGUUAUAUUUCUAUCUAAAUUUAGUUAUCAUCCAACUUUACUUGUUGCUAGUUAUUCUUUUUAAUUGCUCCAUUUCUGCUAGGUAAUUGAGCAUAUUCUGCUUUAUCCUAAGAUGAUUUGAUUGCACUUCACGAUGACUUACUUCACAUACUAUAUAUGCAUUUGGAUCCUAUAUUGCACUCCCUAGGCCAUGGAUCCUUGGUCGCGUAUGAUAUCUUGGUUUUGUAGUGAUGAUCAACCAUUUUAUAUUCUAAUUUUCUUGUCUCUUGUUGACUAUUCAUGGAUUUUCCAGGUUCUUUUUCAUGUCCUUGGUGUUAUUUCAGGCUUAUCAGCCACCAAUUGAGCCAUUGUUGAAUGAGUUAUGCCUAGGUAUCCAAGCUGAUCGAUUGGCCAACAAAGCAUCUGAUGAAGACAAGUAUGAUAUUGUGAGGGAAGGUGUUGUCACUUGAUCUCUUGCAAAACAUUUAGCAAAG